AUUGAACGCUGGCGGCAGGCCUAACACAUGCAAGUCGAGCGGAGUGGCGGACGGGUGAGUAAUGCCUAGGAAUCUGCCCGGUAGUGGGGGAUAACGACCGGAAAAGGGAGCUAAUACCGCAUACUAUGAGAUGAGCCUAUGUCGGAUUAGCUAGUUGGUGGGGUAAAGGCCUACCAAGGCGACGAUCCGUAACUGGUCUGAGAGGAUGAUCAGUCACACUGGAACUGAGACACGGUCCAGACUCCUACGGGAGGCAGCAGUGGGGAAUUUUGGACAAUGGGCGAAAGCCUGAUCCAGCCAUGCCGCGUGUGGGAAGAAGGUCUUCGGGUUGUAAAGCACUUUAGGUUGGGAGGCGUUACCUGCAGAAUAAGCACCGGCUAACUUCGUGCCAGCAGCCGCGGUAAUUC
rnacentral:rRNA from 1 species